rnacentral:rRNA from 1 species
CGCGGGGGCUUCGGUCUCUGGCGGCGAGUGGCGGACGGGUGAGUAAUAUAUGGGAACGCGCCCGGCGGCGGGGGAUAACUCUGGGAAACCAGAGCUAAUACCGCAUGCGUUUCGCCUUUCGGGGCGAAAGAAAGCGGGGGACUUCUUCGGAGGCCUCGCACCGGCGGAGCGGCCCAUAUCCGAUUAGCUUGUUGGCGGGGUAACAGCCCACCAAGGCCGCGAUCGGUAGCUGGUCUGAGAGGACGGACAGCCACACCGGGACUGAGACACGGCCCGGACUCCUACGGGAGGCAGCAGUGGGGAAUAUUGGACAAUGGGGGCAACCCUGAUCCAGCAAUGCCGCGUGUGUGAAGAAGGCCUUCGGGUUGUAAAGCACUUUCGCGGGGGAAGAAAAAGCGAGGGGUAAUAUCUCUCGCGCCUGACGGUACCCCGAGAAGAAGCACCGGCUAACUACGUGCCAGCAGCCGCGGUAAUACGUAGGGUGCGAGCGUUAAUCGGAAUUACUGGGCGUAAAGCGUGCGCAGGCGGCCUGUCAAGUCGGGUGUGAAAUCCCCGGGCUCAACCCGGGAAUUGCGCUUGAAACCGGCGGGCUAGAGUACGGCAGAGGAAGGUGGAAUUCCGUGUGUAGCGGUGAAAUGCGUAGAUAUACGGAAGAACACUCAUGGCGAAGGCAUCCUUCU